AUGAGACGGCCUAUGCUCUCGACUUUGGAUUUGAAAUCAGCAAUAUAACCAUGUCUGAGAAGCUUGAACUCAGGGAUGGCACCCACCUGACAAUACAAGACUCUAUAAACACAUUGCUGGGCAAGAUGCUCCUCAGUAACUCCUCAGCGCCUCUCAUUAAGUUCCAAGCAGCUGAUUUCACGGGUAAUUCCACAGUAAUUAAGGCCAAUGUAGAGUAUGUUUUCUCACCAAGUGACAUCACGCAACCCAGCAUCU